GAUGAACGCUGGCGGCGUGCCUAAUACAUGCAAGUCGAGCGAACGGACGAGAAGCUUGCUUCUCUGAUGUUAGCGGCGGACGGGUGAGUAACACGUGGAUAACCUACCUAUAGGACUGGGAUAACUUCGGGAAACCGUAGCUAAUACCGGAUAAUAUUUUGAACCGCAUGGUUCAAAAGUGAAAGACGGUCUUGCUGUCACUUAUAGAUGGAUCCGCGCUGCAUUAGCUAGUUGGUAAGGUAACGGCUUACCAAGGCAACGAUGCAUAGCCGACCUGAGAGGGUGAUCGGCCACACUGGAACUGAGACACGGUCCAGACUCCUACGGGAGGCAGCAGUAGGGAAUCUUCCGCAAUGGGCGAAAGCCUGACGGAGCAACGCCGCGUGAGUGAUGAAGGUCUUCGGAUCGUAAAACUCUGUUAUUAGUGAAGAACAUAUGUGUAAGUAACUGUGCACAUCUUGACGGUACCUAAUCAGAAAGCCACGGCUAACUACGUG
rnacentral:rRNA from 1 species